rnacentral:misc_RNA from 1 species
GAAACCCUCUCACCAAUUCCUUUUUUUCUUUUGAGAAGGGAGUUGAUGGAUGUUGAGUGUUGCCGUAGUUGGCUCACUUUAAAUGCAUGAGUUGGUUCAUUUACUUGAUGUGGAAUGACUUGAUGUGAUAAACUAUCUUCAUCAAGGAAAGCAGCAGCCUCACAGUUGUUACUGCCAUGUCUCUUGGAAAAUGAUAGCUCCCUAACCACCAGAUACUGCUAGGAAACUGGCAAUGUCAUUUCUUUGAUU